rnacentral:rRNA from 1 species
UCUUAGUGGCGGACGGGUGAGUAACGCGUGGGUAACCUGCCUUAUACAGGGGGAUAACACUUAGAAAUAGGUGCUAAUACCGCAUAAGCGCACGGGGCUGCAUGGCCCAGUGUGAAAAACUCCGGUGGUGUAAGAUGGACCCGCGUCUGAUUAGCUUGUUGGCGGGGUAACGGCCCACCAAGGCGACGAUCAGUAGCCGGCCUGAGAGGGUGGACGGCCACAUUGGGACUGAGACACGGCCCAAACUCCUACGGAAGGCAGCAG